GAGCGCGGGAAGCAAGCAGAUCUCCUUCGGGAGUGACGCUUGUGGAACGAGCGGCGGACGGGUGAGUAACACGUGGGCAACCUACCUGUAAGACUGGGAUAACUCCGGGAAACCGGGGCUAAUACCGGAUGAAACAAAGCGUCGCAUGACGCAAUGUUAAAAGGCGGCAUAUGCUGUCACUUACAGAUGGGCCCGCGGCGCAUUAGCUAGUUGGUGAGGUAAAGGCUCACCAAGGCAACGAUGCGUAGCCGACCUGAGAGGGUGAUCGGCCACACUGGGACUGAGACACGGCCCAGACUCCUACGGGAGGCAGCAGUAGGGAAUCUUCCGCAAUGGACGAAAGUCUGACGGAGCAACGCCGCGUGAGUGAUGAAGGUUUUCGGAUCGUAAAACUCUGUUGUUAGGGAAGAACAAGUGCCAUUCAAAUAGGUUGGCACCUUGACGGUACCUAACCAGAAAGCCCCGGCUAACUACGUGCCAGCAGCCGCGGUAAUACGUAGGGGGCAAGCGUUGUCCGGAAUUAUUGGGCGUAAAGCGCGCGCAGGCGGUCCUUUAAGUCUGAUGUGAAAGCCCACGGCUUAACCGUGGAGGGCCAUUGGAAACUGGAGGACUUGAGUACAGAAGAGGAGAGUGGAAUUCCACGUGUAGCGGUGAAAUGCGUAGAGAUGUGGAGGAACACCAGUGGCGAAGGCGACUCUCUGGUCUGUAACUGACGCUGAGGUGCGAAAGCGUGGGUAGCGAACAGGAUUAGAUACCCUGGUAGUCCACGCCGUAAACGAUGAGUGCUAGGUGUUAGGGGGUUUCCGCCCCUUAGUGCUGAAGUUAACGCAUUAAGCACUCCGCCUGGGGAGUACGGCCGCAAGGCUGAAACUCAAAAGAAUUGACGGGGGA
rnacentral:rRNA from 1 species